UACGUAGGGUGCAAGCGUUAAUCGGAAUUACUGGGCGUAAAGCGUGCGCAGGCGGUUUUGUAAGUCUGAGGUGAAAUCCCGGGGCUCAACCUGGGAAUUGCGAUCGAUACUGCAAGGCUUGAAUCUGGCAGAGGGGGGUAGAAUUCCACGUGUAGCAGUGAAAUUCGUAGAUAUGGGGAGGAACACCGAUGGCGAAGGCAGCCCCCUGGGUCAAGAUUGACGCUCAGGCACGAAAGCGUGGGGAGCAAACAGG
rnacentral:rRNA from 1 species